rnacentral:rRNA from 1 species
UCUGCCUCGAUUUUUUUAUCGUUGGCCUCAGAUC